CAAGCACCUCGGUAGGUGAGGCGUCUGCACGGAUACAGGCCACUGACCCCGAACGUCGAGAGACGCCCCGGGUCAGGACAGCUCUUCCCGGACCCAAGGGUUGAGCCCAAGUGGCUUCCGGACCCCCGGAUACGCCGUGCAGUGCCGAAGCUCCGACGAGAGGGGUGCGUC
rnacentral:sRNA from 1 species